rnacentral:rRNA from 1 species
GGCCGGAAAGUUGGUCAAACCCGGUCAUUUAGAGGAAGUAAAAGUCGUAACAAGGUCUCCGUAGGUGAACCUGCGGAGGGAUCAUUA